rnacentral:rRNA from 1 species
GAUGAACGCUGGCGGCGUGCCUAAUACAUGCAAGUCGAGCGAACAGACGAGGAGCUUGCUCCUCUGACGUUAGCGGCGGACGGGUGAGUAACACGUGGAUAACCUACCUAUAAGACUGGGAUAACUUCGGGAAACCGGAGCUAAUACCGGAUAAUAUAUUGAACCGCAUGGUUCAAUAGUGAAAGACGGUUUUGCUGUCACUUAUAGAUGGAUCCGCGCCGCAUUAGCUAGUUGGUAAGGUAACGGCUUACCAAGGCAACGAUGCGUAGCCGACCUGAGAGGGUGAUCGGCCACACUGGAACUGAGACACGGUCCAGACUCCUACGGGAGGCAGCAGUAGGGAAUCUUCCGCAAUGGGCGAAAGCUUGACGUAGCAACGCCGCGUGAGUGAUGAAGGUCUUCGGAUCGUAAAACGCUGUUAUUAGGGAAGAACAAAUGUGUAAGUAACUAUGCACGUCUUGACGGUACCUAAUCAGAAAGCCACGGCUAACUACGUG